AGUGAACGCUGGCGGUAGGCCUAACACAUGCAAGUCGAACGGCAGCACAGGAGAGCUUGCUCUCUGGGUGGCGAGUGGCGGACGGGUGAGGAAUACAUCGGAAUCUACUUUUUCGUGGGGGAUAACGUAGGGAAACUUACGCUAAUACCGCAUACGACCUACGGGUGAAAGCAGGGGAUCUUCGGACCUUGCGCGAUUGAAUGAGCCGAUGUCGGAUUAGCUAGUUGGCGGGGUAAAGGCCCACCAAGGCGACGAUCCGUAGCUGGUCUGAGAGGAUGAGCAGCCACACUGGAACUGGGACACGGUCCAGACUCCUACGGGAGGCAGCAGUGGGGAAUAUUGGACAAUGGGCGCAAGCCUGAUCCAGCCAUACCGCGUGGGUGAAGAAGGCCUUCGGGUUGUAAAGCCCUUUUGUUGGGAAAGAAAUCCAGCUGGCUAAUACCCGGUUGGGAUGACGGUACCCAAAGAAUAAGCACCGGCUAACUUCGUGCCAGCCGCCGCAGUAA
rnacentral:rRNA from 1 species